CAUUGAUCAUGGCGUCCAACAGCGGUACAACUCAGAUACUCGAAAAGUCUGCAGCCUUUGAGAAUCUCUGUGAUCCAUUGACUUUGCCCACAAAGAACAUGCCUCUUCCUUUCCAACUUGCACCUUCUCCUCCUUCAUAAAGAAAGAAGGCAGUCACCUACAUACACUUGGCAGAAGACAAGCUAGAGAUAACAGGACUAAUGAAGUGAAUGCCUGCUUCUGCCACCUCUCUCAACAUAUUACUGUACUGUGUUGAUAGUACAUAUGAAAAAGGACAAGA